rnacentral:tmRNA from 1 species
GGGGGCGACUUGGCUUCGACGUGGGUUGCGAAGCAGCGUUGUGCAUGCCGAGCUUCAGUGUCUCGUAAAACGGCUGAAAAUCAAUAAACGCCAACGACGAGCGUUUCGCUCUCGCCGCCUAAACCGGCGAGCUUUGCACUGGUUUGCUGAUGGGCCAGGCCGGGUAAAACCGGCAGCAAAGUCAGAUACAUGAGCUAGGGCCUGAUCCUGCCGCGUGAUCAGGCAUGAAAACCCAGCGGAUCGCCCAAAGCGAGCCUGUCAUAUCGGCGCGUCAGGGUUAAACCCAAAGGAUUUGACUACGCAUGUAGAUCACGUUGUAGAGGACUUGCGGACGCGGGUUCAAUUCCCGCCGCCUCCACCA